GGAUUUGUGUUGCUUUUCUUCUGGGUGUGUCCUUAACCCUUGCUAAAUAAACUUCCUAAACUGAUUGAGACCUGUCUUAGAUACUUUUAGUUUACAC